GUUCUAACAGAUCAGUUUUCUAGGCCUGAAAAUUGGUAAACAGCCCUUAUCACAAAGAAAACCCAGCAUGUUAUUCUGCAAUAGUAGCCUGAAACACUCCAGUAGUACUGCACUAUUACCGUGGUGAAUUGAACCAUGCCAGAGAGAGAAGGAAAGAAACAGAGCAAGAGACCAUGCAUUCAAGAAGAGGCCAUGAGACACUGAACAGUGUCCUGAAGUCCUUACUGAAGACCGACCUCCAACAGAUAAUCUGAUGACCAGAAAUGAAUCAGAAGAUAAAAGGCAUGGAACAAUUGUGUACUCUGAACCAUAAAGCAGUUACUUAUGCUGACUGUUUCUACUGUCUCUUUCUCUAGGGCAACAUCUUAAUGACUGCUAAUUAUUUUAUUUGCAUUUGCAGCCAAUAUUCCUCCUAUUCACCAUUAGAGAAGGGCCCAAGUCACACAGUACAGAUCUGGGCCUGAACUCCUCUGAAGUUUUGGGGUGCCUGGAUCUAGGUUUUUGUUUUGGCCCUUUUUGUGCCUUUUUAUCUUUAAACAACUGGGGCCUGAUCUGAAUUUCCCAUUUAGGGUUGCCUGGGUUCAACCCAUACUUCAGUUGCUGAGUGAAGCCAUCUUCCCUUCAUUUGAGAACUCACGUUAUGCAAGAAGUUUCUUACCUGUAACCUUUAACUGAGUUGUUCUUCGUAUUAGCUUGCCUUCAAACUUUAGUUCACAAGUAUAAUUUCCUCCAUCUUCUUCCUGGACUUCUUGUAUUAAAAGAGUAUUUCCUUUCUGAA